rnacentral:tRNA from 1 species
GGCCGCGUAGCUCAGCUGGAUAGAGCACGUCCCUUCUAAGGAUGUGGUCAGAGGUUCGAAUCCUCUCGCGGUCACCA